rnacentral:misc_RNA from 1 species
AACUUUUGGCAAUGGAACACUUGGCUCUUGCAUCGAUGAAGAACGCAGUGAAAUGCGAUAAGUAAUGUGAAUUGCAGAAUCUCGUUAAUCAUUGAAUCUUUGAACACACAUUGCGCCCUAUGGUAUUCCAUAGGGCAUACCUGUUUGUGUGUCAGCUCCCCCAUAUUCUCAAGCAUUAUUUUAUGAUGUUUGGAUUUGUUUGGAGAGGUACCUUUUUUAUAGAGGUGCCCUUCAGAAAUGAAUAGGGCAGUAUAGGUUAUAUCUGAACCAGGCGUAAUAAUGAUAAAGUCGCUAAGUUCAUUAUAAUUGUACUUGCCUGAACCCACCCAUUGUUAGUUUGGGUGACCUCAGAUCAGGUAGGGAUACCCGCUGAACUUAAGCAUAUCAAUAAGCGGAGGCU